GGGAAUAUGUGUUUGCUUUCUUAGGCCCAAGACUGCAAAUCCACUUUCCAAACAAAACUUAACUUGGGCUCCAAAACAAUAAUAAAAAGCCUAAAACUUGGACCCUAUUUGAUGAACAAGAAAGAAAAUGGGACUUUGGAGCUGACUGGCAUCACACGGAUAUCAUGCUCUGGACCUUUUUUUCUGCAGGAUGGGUAUGUUUCAUUGCUUUGGUGAGAUGGUGGGUUCGAACCUUCAAUAAAAUGAUUCGAGAUUAUUGGUGAUAAUGACCUUUCUGAAGUGCUCUAUGUAUGUACAAACCGGCCUGCAAAUAUAAUUGAAUGAUAUUAUGGAGACAUGGUUUAUUGGUUGAGCUAAUCAGAAAUAGUGAUUUAAAUCUACCAAUUGUUGUUAAGACUGAUGAAGAAAACCCAAAUUAAUUUCACAGUUGUUGAGCUGAAACCUCUUUCUACA